UAUCAAUCCAAAUAUAAUCCUUGAACGCGAACGUCAGGGCCAGCGUUCCCCGGCGACAGGAAACAAAUCGCUGGAAUUUUCGUGUUUUGAGAUGGGUUCUUGUGGCAGCUGAAGCUGAUCAUGAACUCGCAAUAGCCUGUUGAGCUGCAUUUGUCUGGACUCCACAGAAAUGCACCAAUAAACUUCUGGUGGUGUGCUGCAGUUUCUUGCCGCUUCAGCGGACUCUGCUGAUUGGCAGAGUGAUGUCGGCUGAGACAGAUGCACGUGCUGAGGCAAGAUCCAUGGAGACGUGAGGUUUGGAGGGUAUGAACAGGCCCAACAGUGAUGGAGGCUGACGGAGUGAGUGAGCUGGGCUUGCUUACAGAGCUAUCUGUGCAACGCUUGUGGGUCUCUAGUUUUCACUGAUCUUCACUUCCCUGAGAGAGGCACAGUGGAGAACUUCUGGAGUCUCUCUGGGCCCCUCCUGCUGACUUCUGAGGGGGCUGAGGCCUGGCUGUCUCUGCAAGGCUGUGCCACAGAUGCUGACUCUGCUAUCCCAACUCUACUGAACUGGACCGAGCUGGUGCAUCCGUGAAGUGUUUGUGAGUGGAUGGAGCUGCUGCUGCUGACCUUUGAACUGAACUGCUGAUUUCCAGGCAACACAGCCUGGACUUGCUCCAAAGAAUCUUUCUAAACAGGGCCACUGCUGUCCCCCCCCCCCCCACUGUAUCCGUUCUUUUUCACUGCCUCCGGUGGGUGCUGGGCUAACCAUCUUUAAAAAUAAAGUUUAAAAAAAUUAAA